UUUAUUACGAGAGUUUGAUCCUGGCUCAGGAUGAACGCUGGCGGCGUGCCUAACACAUGCAAGUCGAGCGAAGCACUUUAAUUCGAUUCUUCGGAUGAAGAUUUUUGUGACUGAGCGGCGGACGGGUGAGUAACGCGUGGGCAACCUGCCUUACACAGGGGGAUAACAGUUAGAAAUGACUGCUAAUACCGCAUAAGA
rnacentral:rRNA from 1 species